GACAGAGGGUGCAAGCGUUAAUCGGAAUUACUGGGCGUAAAGGGUGCGUAGGUGGUCAGGAAGGUGCGAUGUAAAAGGCCAGGGCUUAACCCUGGAGUGUCAUAGCAAACGUCCUGUCUGGAGUUGAAUAGAGGUUAGGGGAAUUUCAGGAGUAGCGGUGAAAUGCGUAGAUAUCGGAAGGAACACUCGUGGCGAAGGCGCCUAACUGGAUUCAAACUGACACUGAGUCAAGAAAGCGUGGGUAGCAAACAGG
rnacentral:rRNA from 1 species